AGUGAACGCUGGCGGUAGGCCUAACACAUGCAAGUCGAACGGCAGCACAGUAAGAGCUUGCUCUUACGGGUGGCGAGUGGCGGACGGGUGAGGAAUACAUCGGAAUCUACUUUUUCGUGGGGGAUAACGUAGGGAAACUUACGCUAAUACCGCAUACGACCUACGGGUGAAAGCAGGGGAUCUUCGGACCUUGCGCGAUUGAAUGAGCCGAUGUCGGAUUAGCUAGUUGGCGGGGUAAAGGCCCACCAAGGCGACGAUCCGUAGCUGGUCUGAGAGGAGGAUCAGCCACAGUGAAACUGAGCCACGACCCAGGGUCCUAGGGAAGGCAGAGGUGGGGAAUAUUGGACAAAGGGCGCAAGCCUGAACAGCCAUACCGCGUGGGUGAAGAAGGCCUUCUGGUUGUAAAGCCCUUUUGUUGGGAAAGAAAAGCAGCAGGUUAAUACCCCGCUGUUCUGACGGUACCCAAAGAAUAAGCACCGGCUAACUUCGUG
rnacentral:rRNA from 1 species